AAGACCUUGCACUUUUGGAGCGGCCGAUGUCUGAUUAGCUAGUUGGUGGGGUAAUGGCCUACCAAAGCUUCGAUCAGUAGCUGGUCUGAGAAGACGGCCAGCCACACUGGGACUGAGACACGGCCCAGACUCCUACGGGAGGCAGCAGUGGGGAAUUUUGGACAAUGGGCGCAAGCCUGAUCCAGCCAUGCCGCGUGAGUGAAGAAGGCCUUCGGGUUGUAAAGCUCUUUCAGCCGGGAAGAAAAGGUUGCGACUAAUAAUCGCAAUCCAUGACGGUACCGAAAGAAGAAGCACCGGCUAACUACGUGCCAGCAGCCGCGGUAAUACGUAGGGUGCGAGCGUUAAUCGGAAUUACUGGGCGUAAAGGGUGCGCAGGCGGUUUUGUAAGUCAGAUGUGAAAUCCCCGGGCUUAACCUGGGAACU
rnacentral:rRNA from 1 species